GACGGAGGAUGCAAGCGUUAUCCGGAAUGAUUGGGCGUAAAGCGUCUGCAGGUGGCAGUUCAAGUCUGCUGUCAAAGACCGGGGCUUAACUUCGGAAAGGCAGUGGAAACUGAACAGCUAGAGUAUGGUAGGGGCAGAGGGAAUUCCUGGUGUAGCGGUGAAAUGCGUAGAGAUCAGGAAGAACAUCGGUGGCGAAGGCGCUCUGCUGGACCAUAUCUGACACUCAGGGACGAAAGCUAGGGGAGCGAAUGGG
rnacentral:rRNA from 1 species